AGAGUCGGAGCGGAGCUCCUCUCGGACAACAUCUCCAGGACUCUACCCUCCAUUUGACUAACGUGCAGAGAGGAGAUACAAACGCUCAUUGCCUCGCCGAUCCCUCUGUCUGACAUCCUGUCUCUGGUGAGCGCUGGGUCUUGGGCAGCGUCCACAGCCUUUCUGGGUCUGCACUACUCUGCCGAAUCUGGAUUAACCCAGCGACUUGUUUGCCAUUUUUGGUUAUUUUUUAUAUUGCUUUGUUUUUGUUUUUUCCCCUGAGAUAAUAAAAUCUCCGUUACUCCAA